CCUACGGGUGGCAGCAGUGGGGAAUAUUGCACAAUGGGGGAAACCCUGAUGCAGCAACGCCGCGUGAGUGAAGAAGGAUCUCGGUACGUAAAGCUCUAUCCGCAGGGAAGAUAAUGACGAUACCAGCCCAGGAAUCCCCGGCUAAAUACCUGCCAGCAGCCGCGGUAAUACUUAGGGGGCAAGCGUUAUCCGGAUUUACUGGGGGUAAAGGGAGCGUAGGCGGCAGGACAAGUCUGGAGUGAAAUCCCGGGGCUUAACCCCGGAACUGCCUUGGAAACUGUGAGGCGGGAGUGCAGGAGGGGAUAGCGGAAUUCCAAGUGUAGCAGUGAAAUCCGUAGAUAUUAGGAGGAACAUCAGUGGCGAAGGCGGCUAACUGGACUGUAACUGACGCUGAGGCUCGAAAGCGUGGGGAGCAAACAGGAUUAGAUACCCUAGUAGUC
rnacentral:rRNA from 1 species